AAAAUGUGGAGCUGGGCAGAAAAAAAUAACGAGCGCCGACUGAGAACAUGAGGACCCGCUGUGGUGGUGACUCACCAAUCACAAGACAUCCCACUUUGAGGUUAUCAGAUAUCUGAAGAGCCUCACUCGGGGAUAGAUGGGAGAGCAAAUAUCACCAGGUGAAGGUUUACCUCUGCACCAAUAUCAGCCUGUCUGGGUGGCAUUUAUCAAGCCUGGAGAGGGGCUUAAGGACACUUUGGGAUAUGUUUGUGAAGAGGCUGGUGGACAAAUAUAGGAGGGAGCUAAUCAAGCCAUCUAUCAACAGACGAAAUGCACCAUCUGUGUGCUUCAUCACUUGUCCUGCUCUUGUAGCACAGAUUUUUCAAGUGUAAUGAAUGAUGGAUGAAGCGAGCGCUGGUACAAUCGAAGGUAUUGUGGUUGCAGAACUCUUGUGAGCCAUUUGCUUAUGAAACACAGAUAUCCUUUAGAAUCGGACAUGAGAAUAAAAUCACAGGCAGAAUGGUUUUCAGACAACAUUUCUUUAAUACAAAGUCAACAUAUCUACAUACACAGUGGCUUUAAACCAAUUAUUGUUUCAUUUAGAAGUAACAGUUUGAAAGUGAUAGCUCUUGGCCCUUAUACAAAGGAAAAACUAUUUUGCUGAGUUUGGGUUCUUUUUCAUUUUGUCUGCAUGUACUGUAUAUGUUCUAUUCAUUUUUGAUGUCAUCUUUUGUUAGUGUUGUUUUUUUUUUUGUUAGUCCCCCCCCCACGUCACCCAAAUAUUCUGCGACAUAUUCCAGUAAAUUUUGGCGGCUGUUUUCAAAAGUCUAGCAUCUUUACAUGAAGUCAAAAGAGUAACACAUUGCACAAGCUUCCAAAGACUUCCACGGUUUCAGAUUUGGCAUGGGCCCACUUUUACCAGUCUUUCCUCAAGUUCCAAAAGACUUCAGUUCAGGAUUUAGAGUUCACUGUGAAAUAUCUCAAAGCUCCCACUGUUCAGAAAUGACGUGCUGGAAAUGUGAAUUUGCAGCAAGUUUUUGGUUGUCUUGGUCUUCCCUUGGUUGCACCGCACUGCUCUGUUUAAUUGAGUCCUGAUUUCUUUCUGCAUCCCACAACGAAACAUGGCUGAACAUAAACACAGAGUAUGGUUCUAUACAAUGCUUAAAAAAAUCGAACAGGGAGAAAAUAAAUCAACAUGUCAUGUCACAACUGAACUAUUAAUGGCCUCUAAGCGUAGCUGCAUGUGUCCGUCAGCCAAUGACAUAUUUAUGGACAACACCUUGGCAUUUUAGGCAGCUGGACAGCUGGGGAACCUUCUGGGGAUUUGUGGGAAACUUUUCAGCGAUGAAAAACACCUUUGGGACACAUUUGUUUCUCACAGUAGCAGAGAAAUUGAGAAUCUGCACUUGAAACCCUUUUGUUUGUUGGAAUUGGGCUUAAGAGGGAAUUAUUUAAACAGGAGCAGUUUCUACACUGCUCUACUUUGCUAUAGCAGGAAAACGUCCUUGUCCACAUUGAAAAUUAACAGGACGUAGAAUUGAAGGCUUAUCACCAAAUCGAAUGGUUAGAAAGUAGACUGGACUAACUUCCUCUCCACAGCUAAAUUACACCAGCUGAUUGCUGAUGCUGAUUUCAUGCCCUCAUUGAGGCUAUAGGUGUGAGAACAGGAGCUUGCCGGCUUCCCAGUUUAACUGCUAACAGGGGAAAUUAAAGGCAGGGAAAAAAAAAGCGAGUGGUAAUUAAAGACCAGGGAGCAGGGCUGGAGAAAGAAGAUUUCAGAAGGAGAGAAAACAGGCUUUACAAACACCAGGAAGUCGGAUAUGAGCAGAGUAAUUCUGUUCCUGCUUAAAGUAUAAGAUCUCGAGGGUCAAAUGAUACAAAUACAUAUAAUCUAUAUAUUUGUUUAUUUACAGGUAUAUUCUAGGUCAUAGUGGAUAUCUAACAAAAUGGAUGACCACAUUAUGUCUGAAGAUAAAGUGAAAAAAAAAAUUAAAAAAAGAGAAAGAAGAUUUUUCUUAAAAACUGUGAGGGUCAUCGUCUGUACAUGAUCAUACAAAGUACAGUAUGUCAAGUUGGGCCGACAUGGAUAACAAAUUAAUGAAGUUUUUGAUUGACGUUUCGUAGACCAGUUCAUCAUUCAACAGUUGCUCAGAAAAAAAAACAAAACAAAAAAUAUAAUAAUGCCUACAGGUUAAUGAUAAUAAAGAAUCUCAACAAGGUUUUAAAAUGGCAUCUCCUCAUCGGCACAGGACCUACCCAGGCGUAGAAGUUCAACUGGUGGGUGGAGGCAGAGGAUUCAGGCAAAGCACUGAUAUCACCUCGACUUUUUUUUUUUUUUUUUUUAAGAAACACGCGAGGUCUCUAAAAUUACAAAAUAACAAACACACAACCAACCAAACAAAAAAAAAA